GUCGAACGCUGGCGGCGUGCCUAAUACAUGCAAGUAGAACGCUGAAGGAGGAGCUUGCUUCUCUGGAUGAGUUGCGAACGGGUGAGUAACGCGUAGGUAACCUGCCUGGUAGCGGGGGAUAACUAUUGGAAACGAUAGCUAAUACCGCAUAAGAGUAGAUGUCGCAUGACAUUUGCUUAAAAGUUGCAAUUGCAUCACUACCAGAUGGACCUGCGUUGUACUAGCUAGUUGGUGAGGUAACGGCUCACCAAGGCAACGAUACAUAGCCGACCUGAGAGGGUGAUCGGCCACACUGGGACUGAGACACGGCCCAGACUCCUACGGGAGGCAGCAGUAGGGAAUCUUCGGCAAUAGACGGAAGUCUGACCGAGCAACGCCGCGUGAGUGAAGAAGGUUUUCGGAUCGUAAAGCUCUGUUGUAAGAGAAGAACGAGUGUGAGAGUGGAAAGUUCACACUGUGACGGUAUCUUACCAGAAAGGGACGGCUAACUACGUG
rnacentral:rRNA from 1 species